ACUCCUCGACCUCUAGAAAAAAAACUCCUACCCUCGACCAGAUCUGAUCAUCCGCCGGCCGCCCUCCACCCAACCAUUGCCGCCGUCGCGCCCCACCACCACAGCCCUGCCGUCGGCCACCACCCCGACCACCGCCGCUGUCGCCCCAACCACCCCACAACAGCGCCAGCAAGCACCGCCGCCCCCAACCAUCCCAUUGCCGCCGGCCGUCCUCAACCCAGCCGCAGCCGUCGUCGGCCCCCACCACUGCAGCCCCGCCGUUGGCCCCUACCACACCACCGCCCAUGACUGCCGUCCACCCGACCACUGCGGUCGUCGCCCCGAACCACCCCACAGUAGCACCGCCGAGCACCCAACUGACACGGACAACCACUGCCGAUGAGCCACUCCACCGGCGACCACCCUCCUCCGCCGAACGCCUUCCCUCGUCACCGCCCUAUUUCGCGAGCUUCCUCCCCCGAGUAGGACUCCUCCCUAAGCCGAUGGAGCCAGGAGUUCUUUGAAUGGGAUUGGUGAAUGCAAUAGUGUUGGUGUGUGGAUUUAUUAUCUUCUUAUGAGAGAAGAACAAGCAGGCAAGUCGAAUCAGUGGUGGUUCCGUUGGUUGCUUUGAUGUAAUAUUUGUAUUGUCUGUAGGUGAGGGUUCUGAUUUAAUCCUUUUGAACCUCAAAGAGGCUGUUAGCCUAAAUAAAUCUUUGCUCCAGGUAACCUAACUUCUAUAGCUUUUGUAUUUAGGCUUCUGUUGCAUCAGGGGCAAACAAGUGCUAUCUUGUUUGAGUUUUACUUUCCUAUAUUGCAGAGUGCUUGAUUGUAGGACUACACAUUUUACAAAGAUUUUCUCCAAACAAAUAAAUAGAAAUAUUACAUGGACGCAUAUUGGCUAUACACACUGGUACAAUUAGACACAGUUCACUUAAAUAUAGUUGUGCCUGUUGAAUUGUAAUAACUGUGGCAUUAGGUGAACUGUACCAUAGGCUGUGCACUUGCCUUAUUGUUGGAAACAGAAAUAGAGCUCUAUCUUGUUAUUUUCUCUGUAUUCUACCCUCAUGGUUCAUAGGGUAACAAGCAUAGUAUUUGAAUGAGAUGGCAUUUACUGUUGGUGGCUUAUUUGUAUGCCUAACAAGUUGGGUGCAAUGCUCAUUUGGUAAAAAAUUCUUCAUGGGUAGGUCUUUGAUCUUGUUCAUAUAUGUACACAGUGAGCUUUACGAAAUGAAUUCACUACUACUCGAAGUUUUGUGUAUGGAAGGGAGAUUGGAUAUUCGGCUCACUGUGUACUAACCAAAACAUAUUUGGAAGUGGACAAGUCCAUGGCAAAAGCAGGAAUACGACCACAAGCAAGCUGAGGAGGUAAUAUUCAUGUUUCUCUUGGCUAUUAGCUGAGGAGGUAAUUUCAUGUUUCUCUUGGCUAUUAGCUGAGGAGGUCUAAGUGGGUCAUUCUUUUUCUUGAUUGAGGUCUAUUUUUGCAUCUACUGCUCUCAACGGCGGACCCAUUAAUCAUCUACUAGGCAGUAAGCACCUCCUUGAUGCGUGCCUGGAGAAGAACGAAGCGACUCCUCAGCGAGCGACCAAACUCAGAUUUCGUUGUUUGACCGGCGACCACCGACACCUGAGUGUGGGACUGUGGGGGUGGGGGCGUGGUGCACCGGCGGACUGGACGGCGGCCGCUGUGGCUUGCCGGCAUGGGGGUGGCUGCUGGCGGGCAGCCGACUAGGCUAGGGAUUGGUGGUCAGGGGCUCCCUCCGGUUCUGCAGUCCUGACCUCGUCUCGUCGCCACGCGCAGUGCCGCAUUGAGAUGCUUCGCCCCUCCUGAGAUUUCCUUCAAGCUCCGCCACUGACUGCUCUACGUUCUCCAGAGAUAAUGGUUUUUACUAUUUGCAAUCAUGCUUCACACUCUCAUCACAAUAAAUUAGAAAAGAAUGCCGCCGGUUGUGGUUGUUGAUAUAGUUUCUUAUUCUUGCAUGCCAGCUGGUUCUUGAAGUAGAGUUGUAGACGACAUAAUCAUCUUUCGUAUUUUUGUUUGCAUGUUUCCAAGAAUUUUCAUGUCUCGAAAUCUGUACAGUACUCAAGUUUACAAAAAAAAACAUUUCAUGCAAUAAUUGUGGCUGCAACUCUUGGAAUUGGAACUGUGAAAGGAUGUGUCAUAUUUGCUUCCUAGUUUGCACUUUUUGGUCCAUGCUGUUCUUCCUAGUUUGCACCGUGCUUCUUGGUUUUACAUUCCUAAUGGCUUACAUUGGUUCUGAAUCUUCUGAUAACCAUAUGUUUACUUCAAUGAGCUUAUUUGUUUGUAUAUGUUUUCUUCUAAUGUUGUUUUCAAAUCUACGAUUUACUCUUGACCAAUAAACAUACUAGCACAUGGUCACAAACCAGUGCAUAAAUCAGCUUGUUUAUCUGUCUGUUUGUACAAAGCCUUAGUUAAA